GACGAACGCUGGCGGCGUGCCUAAUACAUGCAAGUUGAGCGCUGAAGGUUGGUACUUGUACCAACUGGAUGAGCAGCGAACGGGUGAGUAACGCGUGGGGAAUCUGCCUUUGAGCGGGGGACAACAUUUGGAAACGAAUGCUAAUACCGCAUAAAAACUUUAAACACAAGUUUUAAGUUUGAAAGAUGCAAUUGCAUCACUCAAAGAUGAUCCCGCGUUGUAUUAGCUAGUUGGUGAGGUAAAGGCUCACCAAGGCGAUGAUACAUAGCCGACCUGAGAGGGUGAUCGGCCACAUUGGGACUGAGACACGGCCCAAACUCCUACGGGAGGCAGCAGUAGGGAAUCUUCGGCAAUGGACGAAAGUCUGACCGAGCAACGCCGCGUGAGUGAAGAAGGCUUUCGGAUCGUAAAACUCUGUUGGUAGAGAAGAACGUCGGCGAGAGUGGAAAGCUCAUCAAGUGACGGUAACUACCCAGAAAGGGACGGCUAACUACGUG
rnacentral:rRNA from 1 species